rnacentral:rRNA from 1 species
GAUGAACGCUAGCGGCAGGCCUAAUACAUGCAAGUCGAACGGGAUCUGAGGGUAGCUUGCUACCCGAUUUGAGAGUGGCGCACGGGUGCGCAACGCGUGAGCAACCUACCCAUAUCAGGGGGAUAGCCCGAAGAAAUUCGGAUUAACACCGCAUAAUAAUACGCUAACACAUGUUGAUGUAUUUAAAUAUUUAUAGGAUAUGGAUGGGCUCGCGUGACAUUAGCUAGUUGGUAAGGUAACGGCUUACCAAGGCGACGAUGUCUAGGGGCUCUGAGAGGAGAAUCCCCCACACUGGUACUGAGACACGGACCAGACUCCUACGGGAGGCAGCAGUAAGGAAUAUUGGUCAAUGGGCGCAAGCCUGAACCAGCCAUGCCGCGUGCAGGAUGACUGCCCUAUGGGUUGUAAACUGCUUUUGUUAGGGAAUAAACCUUCUUACGUGUAAGGAGCUGAAUGUACCUAAAGAAUAAGGAUCGGCUAACUCCGUGCCAGCCGCCGCAGUAAACA